UACGGAGGGUGCGAGCGUUGUCCGGAAUCACUGGGCGUAAAGGGCGCGUAGGUGGCCUGUGGAAGUCUGCGGUGAAAGCCCGGCGCUCAACGCCGGGUCGGCCGUGGAUACUGGCGAUCUUUGAGUCCGGGAGAGGUGAGUGGAACUCCCGAGUGUAGAGGUGAAAUCGUAGAUAUUCGGAAGAACACCGGUGGCGAAGGCGGUCUGCUGGGCAGUUGCUGACACUGAGGCGCGCAGCGUGGGGAGCAAACAGG
rnacentral:rRNA from 1 species